rnacentral:rRNA from 1 species
CCUACGGGUGGCAGCAGUAGGGAAUAUUGGGCAAUGGGCGAGAGCCUGACCCAGCCAUGCCGCGUGCCGGAUGAAGGCCUUCUGGGUUGUAAACGGCUUUUCUCAGGGAAGAAAACGACCAUGCGUGGUACACUGACGGUACCUGAGGAAUAACCACCGGCUAACUCCGUGCCAGCAGCCGAGGUCAUACGGAGGGUGCAAGCGUUGUCCGGAUUUAUUGGGUUUAAAGGGUGCGUAGGCGGCCCGUUAAGUCCGGGGUGAAAGCCCACGGCUCAACAGUGGAACUGCCCUGGAUACUGGCGGGCUUGAGUCCAGACGAGGUUGUCGGAAUGGACGGUGUAGCGGUGAAAUGCAUAGAUACCAUCCAGAACCCCGAUUGCGAAGGCAGCUGACUAGGCUGGUACUGACGCUGAGGCACGAAAGUGUGGGGAGCGAACAGGAUUAGAUACCCGGGUAGUC